UUAUAUCAACGGCUGGCUAGGUCGGUGGAGUGCGCGAUCUCAUCUCAACCGGAAACUAUAAGGAUUGUCGUUCCUAUAUAGGAUUUGGAGUCACGCGUGUUUGUCACAUAUUUUAAACGUCUUUACAGUUAUUUAAAGAAUGAAGGUGGUGGUCAGUUUUUUCGUCGCUUUGCUGGUUUUUGCCAUCUCAGCAAUGCCUAACGGGCCCACCAAAGAUAUUGAAAUACCACACCAAGCAAGUACGCCUUCCCAGCCAUCAUUUCAGAUGGGAAUUAUGGUUGACAAUGAUUCUUCCAUUGAGGGACUGUCGAGCAGCAAUGACAACCCAAGCUAUAGUCACAAAAAUGAUGAUUCCAGUGAGUCUUCUGAAUUGUUAGGAUUUAAUCUGUCACUUUUGCCUACCUCUUCAGUUUUUGGCGCCAACCCAAUGUUCCAGAAAUUACAAGAAUCUUUACGGGUGAUCCGAGAUCAAUUAAACGCUUUGUGGAGCUUUAAUGAAGACAAUAGGCCUUCAUUCGAUUUGCCUGACAAUUACGUCAACAGCACUUCACAUUCGAAACUCAUCAACGGUACGCUCGUGACUGUCAAUGAAACCAUCUUCAAGACUACAAACCAGGAUGGCAUACAAUCUUUUUACCACACGAAAGCCAUAUCGGUGUAUCCAGAUAACGAGACGGAUAUUACUCAUCAUAAAGAACACAGUCACGAGAAAGGACCAAGGGUAGAUCACACACCGAUGCAAAAUUUCGGGAUGCUGCAAAAGUGAUGCACGCCAACUUAGAAGGUUCAGCUGCUGAGAUUAAAGCGUGAUCAACACUUUGAACCCUUUACGAUCAAGGACGCUGGAGCGUAUACUUUAUUAUUUGUUCCGAAAUAUCAUUUAAUUCUUCACCUCUUCACGAACACUAUGGAUCCAGACGGACGAUUUCGCUUAUCCGGUUUAGGAACUCAACUCUCAUUAAAGACCAAUUUAACCAUAAUUGAAAUAAGAAUUUGAGGCUAACGGUGAGGUAGAUAUUGAACAUUCACUGUUUAUCAAUGUAUUCUUGGUGGCAAAUAGAAAAUUCUGCAAACUAA
rnacentral:misc_RNA from 1 species